UUCCGCGUUGUCUUUCUCCCAUUCAAAACAAUACGAGUGACAUGUCUUGUGUUAUUCAAUAGUCUUUGACUCAACAUGUCUACUUGGAAAAUUGCACUGUUUACUUUGAUAUAAGCCUACUUCAUUCCAAUGGAAUGUGCGGUAAAGUCCGUUUGCGUUAGCGACAGUAACAGAAGAGUGACGUCUCUCAACAAAAAGAUGGCUGAAAUGCUCACGAGGUAUUUGUUUCUUGUGGAAAGAAAAUGUGGAGCUCAUCUGCAGUCCAGAUGUUCAGAUCUCUUCAGGAGGAGGCAGAGAGUCUUUGGCCAUUCAGUCAGAGGGAAAUGGAGAAGGAGAGGGAAGGUGUUUGAUGAUGCUCAGUCAAACUGUCAGCAUCCAGCAGGCAGCCAUAGGCUGACAGCAGCAUUACAAAGACUGAGAGAGACAGUAAUGAGAGAAAA